rnacentral:rRNA from 1 species
ACAUACGACCAUAGGUAAAGGAAGACUCUGGAUCCCGUCCGCUGUCCACACGAUAAACCCUUAACCGGCGGAUUAGUAGUCAGGUGGGUGACCACUGGCGAAUCCCCGCUGUUGUAUGUU